UCAAAAGUGAAACUGGCUGUGGGUGAAAUCUAACAGUUGAGGGGUUGGGGGUGAUGUCAGGAGAAGCACCGAAGGGAGGAGAAUAACGAGGCCCUCAUCUCAGCCAUCCUCCACCUCCAUGUGCUUAUGCUUGGUCCUUAAUGGCCCCUGAGCUGGGUGAGCACCCUUUCCUUCCCUCCACCCCCAUCCCCCUGCCCCCAUCCACUGCCGAGAGAUGGCCAGCAGGCUCUGUCUCCUACCAGGGCCUCUACUGCUGGGUACCGGCUCACCAGAAGAGCUGGGGGGAACUGCUUGAAGGAGCCCAUGUCUUUGCCUCCCCUUUACCCUUACGUUCUCAGGAGUCGGCCAGGUGUCAAUGUCCCCAGCACAGCUUCAACUUCUUCCGGACAACUCCAGAACCCUGUGUCUUGAAGGAAAGGGCAUUCUGACAGCAUGAUAUGGAUAGAAGCUGGACCCGGGCUGCCCACCAGCCCCACUUUGUUAUCGGGACCUGUCUCUGCCAGUCUUAUGACCAGGAACAGAAUGACGCUUGCUGGUGGGGGCGGGAGCCCAGGUACCAAGCCAACUGGGCUCUCGCCCGGCUCUAUCCCAGGCCUGGCACUCUCCCUCUGGCCGUUACCCAACAUGCACUUCUGCCUCUUUCGGGAGACCUCGCCCUCUUGUUUUCAAAGUUUUAUAACAGUAUUGUUUGUUGUUGAGCAGAUUAAAUUCUUUAGAGGUUGGGGGGGGGGGGCUGGAGAAGAGUGAGAAAGUCUACUGAAGCCAAGAGAUUAAAUUAGCCCCUUUCUGAACACAGAGUUCACCUGUCUUGGAAAGGGACCAGUGGCCAGGAACACAUGUUCUCUCUCUCUCUGCCCUCUACCCUCACGCCCUCCUUCUCGUCCUGUCCUGGGGAGGCACCCUGAGUCUGACAAGGACGUGCCUGGCUGCGUGAUCAAGGGCUGGAGCUUUAACAGUCAAUGAGCCAGGGUUCAAGACAAAAUGAAAGCAACUGAAGAGGAGAAUAGGAGUGGAGAAACCGACUUGUCCCUCCCCCACUUCCCCAUGACCAGCUGAAGAUCACUGAACCCUGUGAAAAUGCCCCAGGCCCUCCUAUCAUUAGGAUGUGAUUGCUCAUCCUCCCCAAGGGUUUGCCACCUUGGUCCUGGACCAUCCUGGGGUCCUAUGGGCAGCUCCUUGGAGCUCAGUCUGGGCAGAUGGUUAGCUUCUGAAAUGAGCUCUGGCUUAUAUGUAAAACUUUUUUUUAAAGGUUAAGUGACCCAAGACAUUUUCAUAAAAAUGUGCCCUAAUGCACAUUAAUCAGUAUAAUGCAAUAUACUGGAUAGAUGAUGAAUGAAUUAGGGGAAGUGCACGUGUGAGCAGUUCUCUACACACAAACAUGAGGGGAAGCAAGGGCUGGGGGACAGAACACUGGCCUCAGUCAGGAAAACCUAGAUUCAGCUCUUGCCUCUGACACAUACUGGUGUGAUGCUUGGCAGGUCACUCAACCCUUCACUGCCUCAGUACAGAAGAGGCCUCAAGGCCACACCUGAAGACCUAGAGACUGAACGUUCUCUAGAACAAUGAUAUCACUGCCCCCAAACUCAUCCACAUAUCUAUCCACACACAGCCUGGCCCUAUCCAUAUACCUCUAUCAACUUACAUGCACAUGUCAGAGGAAGUUCAUAUGGGUGUGGGUGUGGUCUAUGAAUGGAGCGGAAGAAAAAUAAAGAGUCAGGAAAGACAGACUAUGGGAAGAACUUUAGAUUUUGAGCCCAAAGAGCUGGGUUUUAGGUCCGGCUCUGCUACUUGGGCAAGCCAUGACCUCCCUGAGCCUCAAUCUUCUCAUUUUUAAAAUGGUUAGGAAGGAAAGCACUUUUGGAAACUUUACAGCAUACCAGAACCGUGAGCUAUCCUGAUCACUGUCCACUAAAACGCUGCUGGCUCCUUUCCUACACUUUCCAGGAGCCCAGGAGGGAAACACCAAAGACAGAGAGAGACUCAUGCCACUGCGCCGCCCCUUGAUCCUCGGGUGAUGGAAUGCAAUGGAGAAGCAUCUAUUAGGCCUUUACAAUGUGUUGUGCAUUAUGGUAAACAUAAAAAAGCAAAGACAGUUCCUGCUUUCAAGUAGUUCACACAAACAGCAGAUUUUGCUCUUUUAUUAAAAUCUAUACUUACCUGUAGCCUUAUUUAUUUUUUCAGUCUCUGGACCCUCCAGUCAUAUCUAAGAAACAUGCCCACACACUUAUGUUCCCCAGGUGAGGCCUCACCUUCAAACGCUAAUACUCAUCUACCACUACCCAAGCCAUUUCAGCCAGAGAGACUGUCAUUUUCCUGUAGAUCUCUACCUUAUCCGCAGGUAGGGCUACAAGGCAGGCGGGGGACGCAAACGAUUCUACCUCUGUCCCUUCCCCUUUCAAUGGUGCCAGGCUCACACCUUCCACCGUGUCAGACCACAGAGCUCCCUCCCACACAUUUUCAGAAUCCCUGGCUGUGGGGCAGGUGGGCAGUGCCCAGGCCUGUGGCUACAGGUUCCCACCCAGCCUGAGGCUCCUCCCUGGGAGGGAUUGGUGGGAACAUGCC